AAACAUGGCUCUCUGGAAUAAUAAUAUAGAGAGUCAGGCCUGCCCAGUGAAUUUUUUCAACGGCCGCAGUACCCUAACUGUGCAAAGGUAGCAUAAUCACUUGCUCUAUAAUUGAGGGCUAGAAUGAAAGGCUUAACAAGAACGCGACUGUCUCUAUUAAAUUAUAUAUAAAUUAAUAUUCAAGUGAAGAAGCUUGAGUGAAAUUAAAAGACGAGAAGACCCUGUCGAGCUUUUAAAAGUUAUAUAAACCUACUAAAUUUUAUAAUUUCUUUUUGGUUGGGGCGACCAAGGAACCAACUAAAAAUCUUCCUUAUUUUUAGCAAAAUCAUUAGACCCAGUACAACUGAUUAAUAAAACAAGCUACCGCAGGGAUAACAGCGUAAUUUUCUUUAAGAGCCCUCAUCAAAAAGAAACCUUGCGACCUCGAUGUUGGACUAAAAUUUCCUUAAUGAUGCAGAAGUCUACUAAGGUUGGUCUGUUCGACCAUUAAAAUUUUACAUGAUCUGA
rnacentral:rRNA from 1 species